rnacentral:rRNA from 1 species
AUUGAACGCUGGCGGCAGGCCUGACACAUGCAAGUCGAACGAGUGGCGGACGGGUGAGUAAUGUCUGGGUAACUGCCCGAGAGAGGGGGAUAACUACUGGAAACGGUGGCUAAUACCGCAUACUCUCGGAUGUACCCAUAUGGGAUUAGCUAGUAGGUGGGGUAACGGCGCACCUAGGCGACGAUCGCUAGCUGGUCUGAGAGGAUGAUCAGCCACACGGGGAAUGAGACAGGGUCCUGACUCCUACGGGAGGGAGGAGUGGGGAAUAUUGCACAAUGGGCGCAAGCCUGAUGCAGCCAUGCCGCGUGUAUGAAGUAGGCCUUAGGGUUGUAAAGUACUUUCAGCGGGGAGGCGUUACCCGCAGAAGAAGCACCGGCUAACUCCGUGCCAGCAGCCGCGGUAAUAC